UACGGGGGGGGUAAGCGUUGUUCGGAAUUACUGGGCGUAAAGGGCUCGUAGGCGGCCAACUAAGUCAUACGUGAAAUCCCUCAGCUUAACUGGGGAACUGCGUGUGAUACUGGGUGGCUUGGAUUUGGGAGAGGGAUGCGGAAUUCCAGGUGUAGCGGUGAAAUGCGUAGAUAUCUGGAGGAACACCGGUGGCGAAGGCGGCAUCCUGGACCGGUAUUGACGCUGAGGCGCGAAAGCUAGGGGAGCAAACGGG
rnacentral:rRNA from 1 species